UGCAACAUGGAAAGCUGCUCGCAAAAACCGAUUAACUGCUUCAAAUUUUGGUGUUGCUGUUACACGUGAGAAUUGGACACAAAAAGGCCUGCAGAACCUAACCACAGACAGAGAUCUGUCUAGAGUAAGGGCCAUCCAGUACGGAGUUUCAAGCGAAGCCAUGGCUGUUCA
rnacentral:lncRNA from 1 species